GAUGAAGAACGCAGCGAAAUGCGAUAAGUGGUGUGAAUUGCAGAAUUCAGUGAAUCAUCGAAUCUUUGAACGCACAUUGCGCCCCUUGGUAUCCCGAGGGGCAUGCCUGUUCGAGCGUCAUUUCACCACUCAAGCCUGGCUUGGUGUUGGGCGACGUCCCCUUUGGGGACGCGCCUCGAAACGCUCGGCGGCGUGGCACCGGCUUUAAGCGUAGCAGAAUCUUUCGCUUUGGAAGUCGGGGCCCCGUCUGCCGGAAGACCUACUCGCAAGGUUGACCUCGGAUCAGGCAGGGAUACCCGCUGAACUUAAGCAUAUCAAUAAGGAGGA
rnacentral:misc_RNA from 1 species